rnacentral:rRNA from 1 species
GACGAACGCUGGCGGCGUGCCUAAUACAUGCAAGUCGAACGCUGAAGAGAGGAGCUUGCUCUUCUUGGAUGAGUUGCGAACGGGUGAGUAACGCGUAGGUAACCUGCCUUGUAGCGGGGGAUAACUAUUGGAAACGAUAGCUAAUGCCGCAUAACAAUGGAUGACACAUGUCAUUUAUUUGAAAGGGGCAAUUGCUCCACUACAAGAUGGACCUGCGUUGUAUUAGCUAGUAGGUGAGGUAACGGCUCACCUAGGCGACGAUACAUAGCCGACCUGAGAGGGUGAUCGGCCACACUGGGACUGAGACACGGCCCAGACUCCUACGGGAGGCAGCAGUAGGGAAUCUUCGGCAAUGGGGGCAACCCUGACCGAGCAACGCCGCGUGAGUGAAGAAGGUUUUCGGAUCGUAAAGCUCUGUUGUAAGUCAAGAACGAGUGUGAGAGUGGAAAGUUCACACUGUGACGGUAGCUUACCAGAAAGGGACGGCUAACUACGUG